CACUCCUGAGUUUGAGCUGGGCCUGGAGGACCUGGGCCAAGACUUUCGAGCGGCGGCCGCCUGAGGUGCGAGGAGCCAGCCCCGAUUUCCUCACUGGGUCCCGCGCAGGCGUCCCCGGGACCGCAGAGCAAACUUUCUGGACUAUCUGAGGACACUUGUCCAGCGAGCCCCACUGCUCGGGGAGGAGGAGCCACGGCCGGGGACAG
rnacentral:lncRNA from 1 species